rnacentral:rRNA from 1 species
ACCCUGGUUGAUCCUGCCAGUAGUAUAUGCUUGUCUCAAAGAUUAAGCCAUGCAUGUCUCAAUGCAAGCCACAUUAAGGUGAAACCGCGAAUGGCUCAUUACAUCAGUUAUGGUUCCUUAGAUCGUACCCACAUUACUUGGAUAACUGUGGUAAUUCUAGAGCUAAUACAUGCAAAUAGAGUUCCGACCAGAGAUGGAAGGAAUGCUUUUAUUAGAUCAAAACCAAUCGGUGGCGGGCUUGCCUUGCUCACCGUUUGACUUGGUGACUCUGAAUAACUUUGUGCCGAUUGCACGGUCUAGUACCGGCGACGCAUCUUUCAAAUGUCUGCCUUAUCAACUGUCGAUGGUAGUUUCUGCGACUACGGGGGCAUUCUUAUUGCGACGUUAGAGGUGAAAUUCUUGGAUCGUCGCAAGACGGACAGAAGCGAAAGCAUUUGCCAAAUGUGUUUUCAUCAAUCAAGAACGAAAGUUAGAGGUUCGAAGGCGAUCAGAUACCGCCCUAGUUCUAACCAUAAACGAUGCCAGCUAGCGAUCCGCCGAAGUUCUCCGAUGACUCGGCGGGCAGCUUCCGGGAAACCAAAGCUUUUGGGUUCCGGGGGAAGUAUGGUUGCAAAGCUGAAACUUAAAGGAAUUGACGGAAGGGCACUAUAAGGAGUGGAGCCUGCGGCUUAAUUUGACUCAACACGGGAAACCUCACCAGGUCCAGACACCGGAAGGAUUGACAGAUUGAAAGCUCUUUCUUGAUUCGGUGGGUGGUGGUGCAUGGCCGUUCUUAGUUGGUGGAGUGAUUUGUCUGGUUAAUUCUGAUAACGAACGAGACUCUAGCCUGCUAAAUAGACGUACUUUCUGGUAUCGCAAAGACCCUCCGCAUCGGCUUCGGUCGUUGUUGGUUGUGGUUCUCACUACCGGCGUACAAAUAUAUCUUCUUAGAGGGAUAGGCGGCAUUUAGUCGCACGAAAUUGAGCAAUAACAGAUCUGUGAUGCCCUUAGAUGUUCCGGGCCGCACGCGCGCUACACUGAAGAGAUCAGCAGGUUUUUCUUGGCCGAAAGGUCCGGGUAAUCCGUUGAAGCCUCUUCGUGCUAGGGAUUGGGGCUUGCAAUUCUUCCCCAUGAACGAGGAAUUCCUAGUAAGCGCGAGUCAUAAGCUUGCGUUGAUUAUGUCCCUGCCCUUUGUACACACCGCCCGUCGCUACUACCGAUUGAAUUAUUUAGUGAGGUCUUCGGACCGGUGCGCGGCAGCGUUUCGACAUUGCCGAUGUUGCUGGGAAGAUAACCAAACUUGAUUAUUUAGAGGAAGUAAAAGUCGUAACAAGGUUUCCGUAGGUGAACCUGCGGAAG